GAUGAACGCUAGCGGCAGGCCUAACACAUGCAAGUCGAGGGGCAGCAUGGCGUAGCGAUACGCUGAUGGCGACCGGCGCACGGGUGCGUAACGCGUAUGCAACCUGUCCGGCGCAGGGGGGUAGCCCGUCGAAAGGCGGGGUAAUCCCGCAUGAACCGGUAUUCCCGCAUGGGGGUGCCGGCAAAGUGGAGACGCGGGGCCGGAGGGGCAUGCGUGCCAUUAGCUGGCUGGUGGGGUAACGGCCCACCAGGGCGAUGAUGGCUAGGGGGUCUGAGAGGUUGAUCGGCCACAUUGGGACUGAGACACGGCCCAGACUCCUACGGGAGGCAGCAGUGGGGAAUAUUGGGCAAUGGGCGAAAGCCUGACCCAGCGACGCCGCGUGAAGGAUGAAGGUCUUCGGAUUGUAAACUUCUUUGAUCAGGGAAGAAAGAAUGACGGUACCUAGAAAACAGCCACGGCUAACUACGUGCCAGCAGCCGCGGUAAUACGUAGCGU
rnacentral:rRNA from 1 species